rnacentral:rRNA from 1 species
AACGAACGCUGGCGGCAUGCCUAACACAUGCAAGUCGAACGAGACCUUCGGGUCUAGUGGCGCACGGGUGCGUAACGCGUGGGAACCUGCCCUUAGGUUCGGAAUAACUCCCCGAAAGGGGUGCUAAUACCGGAUAAUGUCUUCGGACUAAAGAUUUAUCGCCUUUGGAUGGGCCCGCGUUGGAUUAGCUAGUUGGUAGGGUAAAAGCCUACCAAGGCGACGAUCCAUAGCUGGUCUGAGAGGAUGAUCAGCCACACUGGGACUGAGACACGGCCCAGACUCCUACGGGAGGCAGCAGUGGGGAAUAUUGGACAAUGGGCGAAAGCCUGAUCCGGCAAUGCCGCGUGAGUGAUGAAGGCCUUAGGGUUGUAAAGCUCUUUUACCCGGGAUGAUAAUGACAGUACCGGGAGAAUAAGCUCCGGCUAACUCCGUG